ACUGCACAUUAUUAAAACUGGGAGCUGGGGCCAGUGAGCUCUCAAGUGUCGGAAAUGUGCUACAGUAAAUCUGGCAGGUUUUUCGCUAACACCACAAGGGUCUAGGUGACUCGAUGAGUGGGGUUUGAUAGUAGUCCUUGUCACAAUU